rnacentral:rRNA from 1 species
CACCCACGGGGUUAAAGACCAUACAACGGCGAGUGAAGCGGCACAGCUCAAAUUUGAAAGCUAGCCUUCGGGUUCGCAUUGUAAUUUGUAGAGGAUGAUUUGGGGAAGCCGCCUGUCUAAGUUCCUUGGAACAGGACGUCAUAGAGGGUGAGAAUCCCGUAUGUGACAGGAAAUGGCACCCUAUGUAAAUCUCCUUCGACGAGUCGAGUUGUUUGGGAAUGCAGCUCUAAAUGGGAGGUAAAUUUCUUCUAAAGCUAAAUAUUGGCGAGAGACCGAUAGCGCACAAGUAGAGUGAUCGAAAGAUGAAAAGCACUUUGGAAAGAGAGUUAAAAAGCACGUGAAAUUGUUGAAAGGGAAGCGCUUGCAAUCAGACUUGUUUAAACUGUUCGGCCGGUCUUCUGACCGGUUUACUCAGUUUGGACAGGCCAGCAUCAGUUUCGGCGGCCGGAUAAAGGCUCUGGGAAUGUGGCCUCCACUUCGGUGGAGGUGUUAUAGCCCAGGGUGUAAUACGGCCAGCCGGGACUGAGGUCCGCGCUUCGGCUAGGAUGCUGGCGUAAUGGUUGUAAGCGACCCGUCUUGAAACACGGACCAAAAAAAAGAAAAACCUUUCUUACUUCCUCUCUUGUUUUUUUCUCCUUCUCGAUUUCGGAGUUUUUUGUCAAUAUAAU